GACGAACGCUGGCGGCGUGCUUAACACAUGCAAGUCGAACGGAAAGGCCCUGCUUUUGUGGGGUGCUCGAGUGGCGAACGGGUGAGUAACACGUGAGUAACCUGCCCUUGACUUUGGGAUAACUUCAGGAAACUGGGGCUAAUACCGGAUAGGAGCUCCUGCUGCAUGGUGGGGGUUGGAAAGUUUCGGCGGUUGGGGAUGGACUCGCGGCUUAUCAGCUUGUUGGUGGGGUAGUGGCUUACCAAGGCUUUGACGGGUAGCCGGCCUGAGAGGGUGACCGGCCACAUUGGGACUGAGAUACGGCCCAGACUCCUACGGGAGGCAGCAGUGGGGUAUAUUGCACAAUGGGCGGAAGCCUGAUGCAGCAACGCCGCGUGCGGGAUGACGGCCUUCGGGUUGUAACCCGCUUUCGCCUGUGACGAAGCGUGAGUGACGGUAAUGGGUAAAGAAGCACCGGCUAACUACGUG
rnacentral:rRNA from 1 species